rnacentral:rRNA from 1 species
GAUGAACGCUGGCGGCGUGCCUAAUACAUGCAAGUCGAACGUACAGCGAAAGGUGCUUGCACCUUUCAAGUGUGUGGCGAACGGGUGAGUAACACGUGGACAACCUGCCUCAAGGCUGGGGAUAACAUUUGGAAACAGAUGCUAAUACCGAAUAAAACUCAGUGUCGCAUGACACAAAGUUAAAAGGCGCUUUGGCGUCACCUAGAGAUGGAUCCGCGGUGCA